rnacentral:rRNA from 1 species
AUAUCAAUAAGCGGAGGAAAAGAAACCAACAGGGAUUACCCUAGUAACGGCGAGUGAAGCGGUAACAGCUCAAAUUUGAAAUCUGACCUUCACGGGUCCGAGUUGUAAUUUGUAGAGGAUGUUUCGGAUAAGGCUUUGGUUUAAGUUUCUUGGAACAGAACGUCAUAGAGGGUGAGAGUCCCGUCUAGAGCCGAUAGCCGCGUCCAUGUGAAACUCCUUCGACGAGUCGAGUUGUUUGGGAAUGCAGCUCAAAAUGGGUGGUAAAUUUCAUCUAAAGCUAAAUAUUGGCCAGAGACCGAUAGCGCACAAGUAGAGUGAUCGAAAGAUGAAAAGCACUUUGAAAAGAGAGUUAAACAGUACGUGAAAUUGUUGAAAGGGAAGCGCUCAUGACCAGACUUGGGCUUGGUUGAUCAACUUGGGUUCUCCCGGGUGCACUCUUCCUCGUCCAGGCCAGCAUCAGUUCGCUGCGGGGGAUAAAGGUUUCGGGAAUGUGGCUCCCUCGGGAGUGUUAUAGCCCGUUGCGUAAUACCCUGCGGUGGACUGAGGUCCGCGCAUCUGCAAGGAUGCUGGCGUAAUGGUCAUCAGCGA